GCAAUCUACAAUAAAAGAAAGAAUACAUGAAAUCAUUUAUAAUAUUCAGUAAUAUUUUUAAUUUUUAAUCACAAAUGAUGUUAUUAAUCUUUUCUGAGAAUAAUUAUCGCAACGCCACUAAAAAAUAAUACUAAAUUUUGAUUUUGAAAUGUUGAAAUUCCUUGACCCACAGGAACUCUCGACCCUGUUUCAAUGUUUCAAACUUCAUACAGCCUCGGCGAGAAUUUCUCAAAACAAUCAUCGACUAAUUAGAA